rnacentral:rRNA from 1 species
CCUACGGGAGGCAGCAGGGAGGAAGAGUGGACAAGGGGCGCGAGCCGGAACCAGCCAAGUAGCGUGAAGGAUGAAGGCCCGACGGGUUGUAAACUGCUGUUAUAAAGGAAUAAAGUGAGGCACGUGUGCAUUUUUGUAUGUACUUUAUGAAUAAGGAGCGGCUAACUCCGUGCCAGCAGCCGCGGUAAUACGGAGGAUCCGAGCGUUAUCCGGCUUUAUGGGGUUUAAAGGGAGCGUAGAGGGGUUGUUAAGUCAGUUGGGAACGUUUGCGGCGCCACCGUGAAAUUGCAAUUGAUACUGGCAGCCUUGUGUACCGUUGAGGUAGGCGGAAUUCCUGGUGUCGCGG